UACAGAGGGGGCUAGCGUUGUUCGGAAUUACUGGGCGUAAAGGGCUCGUAGGUGGCCAACUAAGUCGGACGUGAAAUCCCUCGGCUUAACCGGGGAACUGCGUCCGAUACUGGUUGGCUUGAGUUUGGGAGAGGGAUGCGGAAUUCCAGGUGUAGCGGUGAAAUGCGUAGAUAUCUGGAGGAAUACCGGUGGCGAAGGCGGCAUCCUGGACCGACAUUGACGCUGAACGGCGAAAGCUAGGGGAGCAAACGGG
rnacentral:rRNA from 1 species